GACGAACGCUGGCGGCGUGCUUAACACAUGUUUGUCGAACGGAAAGGCCCUGCUUUUGUGGGGUGCUCGAGUGGCGAACGGGUGAGUAACACGUGAGUAACCUGCCCUUGACUUUGGGAUAACUUCAGGAAACUGGGGCUAAUACCGGAUAGGAGCUCCUGCUGCAUGGUGGGGGUUGGAAAGUUUCGGCGGUUGGGGAUGGACUCGCGGCUUAUCAGCUUGUUGGUGGGGUAGUGGCUUACCAAGGCUUUGACGGGUAGCCGGCCUGAGAGGGUGACCGGCCACAUUGGGACUGAGAUACGGCCCAGACUCCUACGGGAGGCAGCAGUGGGGAAUAUUGCACAAUGGGCGGAAGCCUGAUGCAGCAACGCCGCGUGCGGGAUGACGGCCUUCGGGUUGUAAACCGCUUUCGCCUGUGACGAAGCGUGAGUGACGGUAAUGGGUAAAGAAGCACCGGCUAACUACGUGCCAGCAGCCGCGGUGAUACGUAGGGUGCGAGCGUUGUCCGGAUUUAUUGGGCGUAAAGGGCUCGUAGGUGGUUGAUCGCGUCGGAAGUGUAAUCUUGGGGCUUAACCCUGAGCGUGCUUACGAUACGGGUUGACUUGAGGAAGGUAGGGGAGAAUGGAAUUCCUGGUGGAGCGGUGGAAUGCGCAGAUAUCAGGAGGAACACCAGUGGCGAAGGCGGUUCUCUGGGCCUUUCCUGACGCUGAGGAGCGAAAGCGUGGGGAGCGAACGGGCUUAGAUACCCUGGUAGUCCACGCUGUAAACGGUGGGUACUAGGUGUGGGGUCCAUUCCACGGGUUCCGUGCCGUAGCUAACGCUUUAAGUACCCCGCCUGGGGAGUACGGCCGCAAGGCUAAAACUCAAAGGAAUUGACGGGGCCCCGCACAAGCGGCGGAGCAUGCGGAUUAAUUCGAUGCAACGCGUAGAACCUUACCUGGGUUUGACAUGGAUCGGGAGUGCUCAGAGAUGGGUGUGCCUCUUUUGGGGUCGGUUCACAGGUGGUGCAUGCCUGUCGUCAGCUCGUGUCGUGAGAUGUUGGGUUAGGUCCCGCAACGAGCGCAACCCUUGUUCACUGUUGCCAGCACGUUAUGGUGGGGACUCAGUGGAGACCGCCGGGGUCAACUCGGAGGAAGGUGGGGAUGACGUCAAGUCAUCAUGCCCCUUAUGUCCAGGGCUUCACGCAUGCUACAAUGGCUGGUACAGAGAGUGGCGAGCCUGUGAGGGUGAGCGAAUCUCGGAAAGCCGGUCUCAGUUCGGAUUGGGGUCUGCAACUCGACCUCAUGAAGUCGGAGUCGCUAGUAACCGCAGAUCAGCAACGCUGCGGUGAAUACGUUCCCGGGGCU
rnacentral:rRNA from 1 species